rnacentral:rRNA from 1 species
UACGAAGGGGGCGAGCGUUGUUCGGAAUUACUGGGCGUAAAGGGCGCGCAGGCGGCCCUUGAAGUCAGAUGUGAAAGCCCCGGGCUCAACCUGGGAAUUGCAUUUGAUACUCGAGGGCUGGAGUGCGGGAGAGGAGAGUGGAAUUCCCAGUGUAGAGGUGAAAUUCGUAGAUAUUGGGAAGAACACCGGUGGCGAAGGCGGCUCUCUGGACCGCAACUGACGCUGAGGCGCGAAAGCGUGGGGAGCAAACAGG